CCUGGGAGCAAACAGGAUUAGAUACCCUGGUAGUCCACGCCGUAAACGAUGAUCAUUAGUCGGUGGAGAGUUCACUGACGCAGCUAACGCAUUAAAUGAUCCGCCUGAGUAGUAUGCUCGCAAGAGUGAAACUUAAAGGAAUUGACGGGGACCCGCACAAGCGGUGGAGCAUGUGGUUUAAUUUGAAGAUACGCGGAGAACCUUACCCACUCUUGACAUCCUUCGCAAUGCUAUAGAGAUAUAGCGGAGGUUAACAGAGUGACGGAUGGUGCAAGG
rnacentral:rRNA from 1 species